AGCUUUCUGAACCCGUGCAGAGGCUUCGUCAGACACCAACCUAUUAGGGUUGAUCAGACUUCCAAGAUAAGUGAAGUU
rnacentral:pre_miRNA from 1 species